UACGUAGGGGCGAGCGUUGUCCGGAAUCACUGGGCGUAAAGCGCACGUAGGUGGGUCGUUAAGUCGGGGGUGAAAUCCUGGAGCUCAACUCCAGAACUGCCUUCGAUACUGGCGAUCUUCGAGUCCGGAAGAGGGAAGCGGAAUUUCCGGUGUAGCGGUGAAAUGCGUAGAUAUCGGAAGGAACACCAGUGGCGAAGGCGACUACCUGGCCUGUUCUUGACGCUGAGGCGCGAAAGCUAGGGGAGCAAACGGG
rnacentral:rRNA from 1 species